GAUGAACGCUGGCGGCGUGCUUAACACAUGCAAGUCGAGCGAGUGAGUUCUUCGGAACGAUCUAGCGGCGGACGGGUGAGUAACACGUGGGCAACCUGCCUCAUAGAGGGGAAUAGCCUCCCGAAAGGGAGAUUAAUACCGCAUAACAUCGUUGAAGGGCAUCCUUCGAUGAUCAAAGGAGCAAUCCGCUAUGAGAUAGGCCCGCGGCGCAUUAGCUAGUUGGUGAGGUAACGGCUCACCAAGGCGACGAUGCGUAGCCGACCUGAGAGGGUGAUCGGCCACAUUGGGACUGAGACACGGCCCAGACUCCUACGGGAGGCAGCAGUGGGGAAUAUUGCACAAUGGGGGAAACCCUGAUGCAGCAACGCCGCGUGAGUGAUGACGGCCUUCGGGUUAUAAAGCUCUGUCUUUGGGGACGAUAAUGACGGUACCCAAGGAGGAAGUCACGGCUAACUACGUGCCAGCAGCCGCGGUAA
rnacentral:rRNA from 1 species